UACGGGGGGGGGGCAAGCGUUGUUCGGAAUUACUGGGCGUAAAGGGCUCGUAGGCGGCCAACUAAGUCAGACGUGAAAAUCCCCUCGGCUUAACCGGGGGAACUGCGUCUGAUACUGGAUGGCUUGAAUCCGGGAGAGGGAUGCGGAAUUCCAGGUGUAGCGGUGAAAAUGCGUAGAUAUCUGGAGGAACACCGGUGGCGAAGGCGACAUCCUGGACCGGUAUUGACGCUGAGUGAGCGAAAAGCCCAGGGGGAGCAAAAC
rnacentral:rRNA from 1 species